CCUAGGCCUCCCAAAGUGCUGGAAUUACAGUUAAGAAAGAGACCCAAGCAUCUAAGAUCACCUCCCCCUUGACUUCCACACUGCAUUUCAAUAGAAGAAAAGGCUGGCC